rnacentral:rRNA from 1 species
CGGGUGAGUAAUGCCUAGGAAUCUGCCUGGUAGUGGGGGACAACGUUUCGAAAGGAACGCUAAUACCGCAUACGUCCUACGGGAGAAAGCAGGGGACCUUCGGGCCUUGCGCUAUCAGAUGAGCCUAGGUCGGAUUAGCUUGUUGGUGAGGUAAUGGCUCACCAAGGCGACGAUCCGUAACUGGUCUGAGAGGAUGAUCAGUCACACUGGAACUGAGACACGGUCCAGACUCCUACGGGAGGCAGCAGUGGGGAAUAUUGGACAAUGGGCGAAAGCCUGAUCCAGCCAUGCCGCGUGUGUGAAGAAGGUCUUCGGAUUGUAAAGCACUUUAAGUUGGGAGGAAGGGUUGUAGAUUAAUACUCUGCAAUUUUGACGUUACCGACAGAAUAAGCACCGGCUAACUCUGUGCCAGCAGCCGCGGUAAUACAGAGGGUGCAAGCGUUAAUCGGAAUUACUGGGCGUAAAGCGCGCGUAGGUGGUUUGUUAAGUUGGAUGUGAAAGCCCCGGGCUCAACCUGGGAACUGCAUCCAAAACUGGCAAGCUAGAGUACGGUAGAGGGUGGUGGAAUUUCCUGUGUAGCGGUGAAAUGCGUAGAUAUAGGAAGGAACACCAGUGGCGAAGGCGACCACC